rnacentral:rRNA from 1 species
UACGGAGGGUGCAAGCGUUAUCCGGAUUCACUGGGCUUAAAGGGUGCGUAGGCGGGUUGGUAAGUCCGUGGUGAAAUCCCCAAGCUUAACUUGGGAACUGCCGUGGAUACUAUCAAUCUUGAAUAUCGUGGAGAUAAGCGGAAUAUGUCAUGUAGCGGUGAAAUGCUUAGAUAUGACAUAGAACACCAAUUGCGUAGGCAGCUUACUACACGAUCAUUGACGCUGAGGCACGAAAGCGUGGGGAGCAAACAGG